UACUGAAUUACAAUACUAUGGAAAAGCAUGAAGCCAAUUAAGUUUUCUUAUGGAACUAAAGACGACCAAGAUAUGUCAAUGUUUUUUUUUGUCCUUUUCCUUUAAAUUGUUCUAGCAAGCAGUUUUAGGUUGUGUUAUGCAAAGCUGUAUUUUGGUGUUAAUUUGUCGUACUCCGCUAUGAUAGAAAAAACUGUAGAAUGACAGGUUUUUAUAAAAAUGAGAUUAUU
rnacentral:lncRNA from 1 species